rnacentral:rRNA from 1 species
UUACUCUUACGGGAGGCAGCAGUGGGGAAUAUUGGCAAUGGGCGCAAGCCUGAUCCAGCCAUACCGCGUGGGUGAAGAAGGCUUCGGGGUUGUAAAGCCCUUUUGUUGGGAAAGAAAUCCAGCUGGCUAAUACCCGGUUGGGAUGACGGUACCCAAAGAAUAAGCACCGGCUAACUUCGUGCCAGCAGCCGCGGUAAUACGAAGGGUGCAAGCGUUACUCGGAAUUACUGGGCGUAAAGCGUGCGUAGGUGGUCGUUUAAGUCCGUUGUGAAAGCCCUGGGCUCAACCUGGGAACUGCAGUGGAUACUGGACGACUAGAGUGUGGUAGAGGGUAGCGGAAUUCCUGGUGUAGCAGUGAAAUGCGUAGAGAUCAGGAGGAACAUCCAUGGCGAAGGCAGCUACCUGGACCAACACUGACACUGAGGCACGAAAGCGUGGGGAGCAAACAGGAUUAGAUACCCUGGUAGUCCACGCCCUAAACGAUGCGAACUGGAUGUUGGGUGCAAUUUGGCACGCAGUAUCGAAGCUAACGCGUUAAGUUCGCCGCCUGGGGAGUACGGUCGCAAGACUGAAACUCAAAGGAAUUGACGGA